AACGAACGCUGGCGGCAUGCCUAACACAUGCAAGUCGAACGAGACCUUCGGGUCUUGUGGCGCAAGGGUGCGUACAGUGUGGGAAAUUGCCCUUAGGUUCGGAAUAACUCCCCGACAGGGGUGCUAAUCCCGGAUAAUGUCUUCGGACCCAACAUUUAUCGCCCUUGUAUGGGCCGGCGUUGGAUUAGCUAGUUGGUAAGGUAAAAGCCUACCAAGGCGACGAUCGAUAGCUGGUCUGAGAGAAUGAUCAGCCACACUGAUACUGAGACACGGCAGAGAAUCCUGCGGGAAGCAGCAGUGUCUGAUACAGAAGAAUGGGCAGAUGGAAAAGGCAAUAAGGCAUCGUGAGUGAGGAAGUUGUUAGAGUAGAAAAGCUCUUUUACCCGGUAAGAUAAUGACGGUACCGGAAGAAUAAGCGCCGGCUAACUCCGUG
rnacentral:rRNA from 1 species